CGCAUGGCUCCAUGGACACGCAUGAGGAGAGGGUUGCGCUGCUGUUAGACGUCCUGUGGGCACACACGCAGACAAAAGAAAAAACAUUAAGAGUAAAACAAGCCCACAAAGCUUCAAAUAAAAAGAAAUGACAUCAAAUGUGCCUUUUGCAGAUUCUGUUUUAUUCUUGAUACAAACAGCAGGGUGGAGGGAGCUGUAGCAGCUGGUCUGUGGCUUCAAUGUCAACACAUUUUCCUUUGCAUCAUUUCCUCACAUGUAGUCACUUUGCUACUGGCCUACCAUAUAUUGCCAGGAGCAUACAAAAGCUCUUUAAUGGUCCAAUUACCAGGAGUAAAUGGCCAGAUUAAUUCAGCCCACUCAAAAGGAGAAUGUGCCAAUUAAAUCACUGCAGGAGCUGAGCCCAUAAGUUGCGCUGUGAUUUACUCUACCAUUUUCCUUCUAUUCCCACAAAAAAAAGUUUUCUACCUAGAGACUUCAAAUUUUAAGAACGGUUUUAUUUUCAGAUCAGAAGCUGAGCAGGUUUGAGCGUUAGUUUGACUGCACAAAACUAUAGCAACUGCGUAAAAAUAAACAGCCAUUGUGGCUUUUAAGAGAGAGAGAGGCUAAGAUUCAACAGACGAAGUGGCAGCACGACCCUAAAACAUAAUAAAACAACAAAAACAAGUCGACAUAACAACGACAAAACCAUUUCAGCAAUAGCUAGGAGAGUCAUAACACUCUUUUACAUAUCUGGAAUGUACCAGUGUGUGUCUGACUAUAGCCCUGGGUGUUGGAAAUCACUGUGUAACACGCUGCAAUUUUCUCUUAGCAUGAAACACAAAGAGGCUUCCGGAGAAACAAAUGGAAAUUACCUCUCGAAUGACUUUUAAAAAACUUUACCAGAUCCUUCAAACAUGCAUGUGUAUAGCGUGUUCCUCCAACUUAUGGCCAAGUCUUUUUGUUUGACAGUUUGACAUGUUUGAAAUUCAAUUAAAAAGCUUUCUUUGUCCGGGAGGACAAAUAUCUCUCCUUAGUUAUCAUUUCAUAUUUUUCUUAUUUAUGGACAUUUUAAAUGUGUUUUUUCUUCAUAAUGAAUAAUAGAUUUCUAUGAGCUAUUGCUUGUACGGAUCAAAUUACUUUCCCUGUGAAAGAAAGGGAACGCUAUGACAAAUCCUUAAAUUACCACCAGUCUCUGCUGUUGCUCUCAGAUCGAUAUAAACGUCAACAUGUUGUGUUUCUGUUGUAGCAUUUAUCUUCUUUUUUUUUCUUUCAGGCAAAAAGAUAGUAGUUACCAGCUACAUAAAACCCCUGCUGGCUACCCAACUCAGCAUGAAACACUGCAGCUUGACAGUGAAACCAGACCUCUGUUUCACUGAGACUCUGGAUAUGCUGGUACUGCGUCAGAACCGGUUCCGUCCGUGUUCAAGAACUUACCAACUUAUGUUGGCAGUGAAGUAUUGAUGUUGUAGCAACUAUAAUAUAUAUAUAAUCAGUGUCAUAGUUAGGAAAAAAUUUAAACUUCUGCAUUGUCAAUAUUUCAUACAUAAUUAUAUUUAUUUUCAAUCAAUUUAAUUACAUGUUAUCAAGGAUUAUAUUUAUUACUAAUUAUGCUGAGGUUUUUUACUGUCUUAAUUAAGUAAAGGCAGCGCCAUAGAAAGAGAGAGUUAUGACACUUCCAUUGACUUCUAUAGAAAGAAUGGAAUGCGGAAAUGACGUGGGUCAUGGAGAUGCUAAUAGUUCCAAACACCAGCAGCUCCAGCAUUGGACGUAGUUCAUUCUUGGUAUUUCGGAAGGAUUUUUUACGGUAAACCACACGAGAAUGCUGAACUGCUGAACCAUGUUGCACACAAAGCACCACAAAGCAGAUGUGGUGACUGACUUCAAAGGGAGCUGCUGCCAAUGAUGCCAAGGAGGAUGAACCCUCAUUUGGACUUCGGCACAUUUCUACCUUGUCCAGAUUUGAUCAGAUAGCAGAUGUAAUUAAUAAAUUGUAUAAAUGGUAGUGCAAGUACUUCUUUAUUAAAGCUAGUUUUGCAUUUUA